rnacentral:tRNA from 1 species
GGGGACUUAGCUCAGUGGUAGAGCGUUUGCCUAGCAAGCACAAGGCCCUGGGUACAAGGCCCUG